rnacentral:rRNA from 1 species
CCCUUAGAUGUUCUGGGCCGCACGCGUGCUACACUGAGUGGAUCAGCGGGUCAGGUUGCGCGAAAGUGUUUCCUAAUCUUGAAAUCCGCUCGUGAUGGGGAUUGACGGUUGCAAUUUUCCGUCAUGAACGAGGAAUACCUUGUAAGCGCGGGUCAUCAUCCCGCGCUGAAUACGUCCCUGCCCUUUGUACACACCGCCCGUCGCUCCUACCGAUUGAGUGUUCCGGUGAGGCUUUGGGAUCUGAGCGGAAAGAGCGUUUCGCUGUUUCUGCUCGGAAAACUCAGUCGAACCUUAUCAUUUAGAGGAAGGAGAAGUCGUAACA